rnacentral:snRNA from 1 species
GUGCUUGCUUCGGCAGCACAUAUACUAAAAUUGGAACGAUACAGAAAAGAUUAGCAUGGCCCCUGUGCAAGGAUGACAUGCAAAUAUGUGAAGCUUUCCAUAUUUAA